GACGAACGCUGGCGGCGUGCUUAACACAUGCAAGUCGAACGGAAAGGCCCUGCUUUUGUGGGUUGCUCGAGUGGCGAACGGGUGAGUAACACGUGAGUAACCUGCCCUUGUCUUUGGGAUAACUUCAGGAAACUGGGGCUAAUACCGGAUAGGAGCUCCUGCUGCAUGGUGGGGGUUGGAAAGUUUCGGCGGUUGGGGAUGGACUCGCGGGUUAUCAGCUUGUUGGUGGGGUAGUGGCUUACAAAGGCUUUGACGGGUAGCCGGCCUGAGAGGGUGACCGGCCACAUUGGGACUGAGAUACGGCCCAGACUCCUACGGGACGCAGUAGGGGGGAAUAUUGCACAAUGGGCGGAAGCCUGAUGCAGCAGCGCCGCGUGCGGGAAGACGUCCUUCGGGGUGUAAACCGCUUUCGCCUGUGACGAAGCGUGAGUGACGGUAAUGGGUAAAGAAGCACCGGCUAACUACGUG
rnacentral:rRNA from 1 species